rnacentral:rRNA from 1 species
AUUGAACGCUGGCGGCAGGCCUAACACAUGCAAGUCGAUCGCGCGGCGGACGGGUGAGUAAUGUCUGGGAAACUGCCUGAUGGAGGGGGAUAACUACUGGAAACGGUAGCUAAUACCGCAUACCAUACGAUGUGCCCAGAUGGGAUUAGCUAGUCGGGGGGGUAACGUGUCACCUAGGCGACGCUCCCUAGCUGGUCUGAGAGGAUGACCAGCCACACGGGAACUGAGACACGGUCCAGACGCCUACGGGAGGAAGCAGUGGGGAAUAUUGCACAAUGGGCGCAAGCCUGAUGCAGCCAUGCCGGGUGUGUGAAGAAGGCCUUCGGGUUGUAAAGCACUUUCAGCGGGGAGGCGUUACCCGCAGAAGAAGCACCGGCUAACUCCGUGCCAGCAGCCGCGGUAAUAC